rnacentral:rRNA from 1 species
GAUGAACGCUGGCGGCGUGCUUAACACAUGCAAGUCGAACGGGAAAUAUUUCAUUGAGACUUCGGUGGAUUUGAUCUAUUUCUAGUGGCGGACGGGUGAGUAACGCGUGGGUAACCUGCCUUAUACAGGGGGAUAACAGUCAGAAAUGGCUGCUAAUACCGCAUAAGCGCACAGAGCUGCAUGGCUCAGUGUGAAAAACUCCGGUGGUAUAAGAUGGACCCGCGUUGGAUUAGCUUGUUGGUGGGGUAAC